rnacentral:rRNA from 1 species
CCUACGGGUGGCAGCAGUAGGGAAUUUUCGUCAAUGGGCGCAAGCCUGAACGAGCAAUGCCGCGUGAACGAGGAAGGUCUUCGGAUCGUAAAGUUCUGUUGAAGGGGAAAAAGAGCGGAGAGAGGAAAUGCUUUCUGAUUGAUAUUACCCUUCGAGGAAGUCACGGCUAACUACGUGCCAGCAGCCGCGGUAAUACGGGGGAUGCAAGCGUUAUCCGGAUUUAUUGGGUUUAAAGGGUGCGUAGGCUGGGAGGUAAGUCAGCGGUGAAAUGCCCCCGCUCAACGGGGUGAAGUGCCAUUGAUACUGCCUUGCUGGAAUGCGGAUGCCGUGGGAGGAAUGUGUGGUGUAGCGGUGAAAUGCAUAGAUAUCACACAGAACACCGAUUGCGAAGGCAUCUCACGAAUCCGCGAUUGACGCUGAUGCACGAAAGCGUGGGUAUCAAACAGGAUUAGAUACCCCAGUAGUC